rnacentral:snRNA from 1 species
GUGUUUGCUUUGGCAUCACAUAUACUACAGUUGGGAUAACAGAGAAGAUUAGCAUGGCCCCUGUGCGAGGAUGACAUUCAAAUUUUAAGUGUUCCAUAUUUUU